rnacentral:rRNA from 1 species
CCUACGGGAGGCAGCAGUAGGGAAUAUUGGGCAAUGGGCGCAAGCCUGACCCAGCGACGCCGCGUGAGGGAUGAAGGUCUUCGGAUUGUAAACCUCUUUCAGUAGGGAAGAAGCGAAAGUGACGGUACCUAAAGAAGAAGCACCGGCUAACUAUGUGCCAGCAGCCGCGGUAAUACAUAGGGUGCAAGCGUUGUCCGGAAUUAUUGGGCGUAAAGAGCUCGUAGGUCGUUUGUCGCGUCGAUUGUGGAAAUCUGAGGCUCAACCUCAGACCUGCAGUCGAUACGGGCAAACUAGAGUGUGGUAGGGGAGACUGGAAUUCCUGGUGUAGCGGUGGAAUGCGCAGAUAUCAGGAGGAACACCAAUGGCGAAGGCAGGUCUCUGGGCCAUAACUGACACUGAGGAGCGAAAGUGCGGGGAGCGAACAGGAUUAGAUACCCUGGUAGUCCGCACCGUAAACGGUGGGCACUAGUUGUGGGAACCUUCCACGGUUUCCGCGACGCAGCAAACGCAUUAAGUGCCCCGCCUGGGGAGUACGAUCGCAAGAUUAAAACUCAAAGGAAUUGACGG